rnacentral:rRNA from 1 species
UACGUAGGUGGCAAGCGUUGUCCGGAAUUAUUGGGCGUAAAGCGCGCGCAGGCGGUCCUUUAAGUCUGAUGUGAAAGCCCACGGCUCAACCUUUGAAAGCCGAUGGAUACUGUGAGGCUAGAGUCCGGAAGAGGCGAGUGGAAUUCCUGGUGUAGCGGUGGAAUGCGCAGAUAUCAGGAGGAACACCAAUAGCGAAGGCAGCUCGCUGGGACGGUACUGACGCUAAGGCGCGAAAGCGUGGGGAGCGAACAGG